UAAAAAUGCAGUCCUGGGGGACCUGGGGAAAAUCCCAAGCCCUUUAUUACAUAAAAAAGGGGGAAGAACACGAAGAGAGGGUGUUGGAUGAGACUCAGAUCCCCUCAAUCUGUUUUCCCAUGCAGCAAAAGUGCUGCCGCUGCUUUCCAGCUCUCCCCACCACUGGCGCCAGGAGGGCACCUUGGGCUGCCUCAGAUAUGCUUGCACACUCCAUCCCUCUUUACAGGCAGACAGGCAGUAUGAUUAAAAAUACAGGAGACAGACCCAAACGUGAACAACAUGACACCCCCAGUGAGAUCACUGACAAGAAGUGGACCUUGGCAUGGAAGGAGCAUAAGUGAGGUCUUCCAGAAGCACUGAGUUCUCUGGGGCACAGGCAGCUUGGCUCCCAGUGCCACCUUGACCUCCACUAUCAUCACCCAGCCCAGGCUACAUUUCAGGAAACCAUCCAAAAGACUCCAGUAGGCUUUCAAUGGAGUGAAACAUGGAAUUUUCCCAAGACAAAAUUUUAACACCACAUCUAUUGUCUUUGAACAUCCCAUUCGUGACAUAUAGAAAAGGAGCAGGCUUUUUGACAGGCAAGAGUGAGGUGAGCAUCCCCCUGGGAUGCCCCUUUCCCUGUACUGCAUCCUGGCAAAUACACCCUGAUGAUGACAGUGACAAGACAGUGACAUUGCAGAAAGAAUUUGGGGCAACUGAGUUCUACCAUGGAGGCUGCAAGCAGGGAAUGAAGCCAGCAUCUCCUGCCUUCCCACCAACACACCACGUUCAACCAAUAAAAAACCCUCCAGUGCAGCUGCUCAGGACUAGCCUCUUCCUCUGGGCCUCUGAGCACCUGUCACUAGAAAAUCAGCAUUUUCAAAUGCCACGCCAGGGCAACUCCUGGCAAAUGACAAUGCUGCAGCAGAUCCUUGAUACAUUAUCUGUUUCUCAUCCAGCAUCCUCACCCACUCUUCUCAAGUCCCUGUCUUGUACUUUGAUCCCAAAGGGUAGGAGAAAGGCUGAGGGAAGAGGGUGAAUUUUAAACCACCUCUCCAUAUAAAUAGAAUAGCUUAUGCAUUCCUUUCUGAAGUACGGUAUUAAUCCCAAUUGUGCCAUAAAAUAUAUAUGACUCACUUGAGCCUUGUUCUCUGGUGAGUUAUGAACUAUUAUGUCACUCGUGGGAUAAGUAUUAUGUCUCUUAAGAGACUAUCACCUUUUCUUUACUUCAUAAUAUAAAACUUCAUUGAAACCUGCCGUGCCUGAUAUAAGCAACUUCUCGUCACGCACAUUAAACCUUUUUUCUUUUACAGCUUCAUUCAUUUAGCUGAUAUUCACAUCAGGAUGAGUUCUUUCAGAUGCAGCAUAAGCAUAAAUUAGUAUGUAAGAGAAGUAGUCAUUUAGCAGAAUUUUUUCUUUAAUAAAUCUGGUGAAAUUUAUAUUUCAUCACAGAGCAGAAAGAUUUUUUUUUUUAUACAUUUAAAGAUUUAUUCCUGUAGUAAGUAUCCAAUUAAUAGGGCUUUAGCAUGCAGACAGGAUAUGUAUUUAUGCUGAAGAAAAUAUGUUCUCAUUAUACUUUUAUUCUCAUGUUAGAUUUAUUGUGGGUUCCACUAU